AAGUCGUAACAAGGUUUCCGUAGGUGAACCUGCGGAAGGAUCAUCGUAGAAAUUCGCUGGCAUUACAAACCCCAUGUGCACUCUGCUUUACCUUUACGCGCUUUUGAAGUCAUUGGAACGGCCUUAUUUGAAAACUAAAUACAACUUUCAACAACGGAUCUCUUGGCUCUC
rnacentral:misc_RNA from 1 species